GCCAGCGUAGCUCAAUGGUAGAGCAAUUGUUUUGUAAACAAUAGGUUGCGGGUUCGAUUCCUGUCGCUGGCU
rnacentral:tRNA from 1 species